UACGAAGGGGGCUAGCGUUGCUCGGAAUCACUGGGCGUAAAGCGCACGUAGGCGGCUUUCUAAGUCAGGGGUGAAAUCCUGGAGCUCAACUCCAGAACUGCCUUUGAUACUGGAGAGCUUGAGUCCGGAAGAGGUGAGUGGAACUCCGAGUGUAGAGGUGAAAUUCGUAGAUAUUCGGAAGAACACCAGUGGCGAAGGCGGCUCACUGGUCCGGUACUGACGCUGACGUGCGAAAGCGUGGGGAGCAAACAGG
rnacentral:rRNA from 1 species